rnacentral:rRNA from 1 species
GACGAACCGUGCGAACGUUAUUCGGAAUCACUGGGCUUAAAGCGCGCGUAGGCGGACCGUCGCGUCGGUCGCUGAAAGCCCCCGGCUCAACCGGGGAAGCGGCACCGAUACGGGCGGUCUGGAGUGGAGGAGGGGGAUCCGGAACUCCCGGUGGAGCGGUGAAAUGCGUUGAGAUCGGGAGGAACGCCGGCGGCGAAAGCGGUUCUCUGGGCAUUACCUGACGCUGAGGAGCGAAAGUGUGGGAGCGAACAGG